UUAAGAAUUUAACCAAUUGAUCUGUGAUGCGUCAGUGAGAUACCAACAGGUACAGUUUUUUAAUGCCCUUAGUUCUCUGUUAUUAGAGUGUUGGAGACAUAGAUGAUAGUGGAAUAAAGAACUCACAGUGAAACUUUAAAAUAUCAGCCAGGGGAUGAAAUAGCCAGCUUGGCCGUUAUGCACUGUGUUACAGCAGACGAGGUAUCUGAUAUCCACGACUUACUGGAGCACUACAUUUGUUUUUAGGUUCAAUGGUAAAUGGAUGGGGCUCUGCAUCUGAUGAGGAUCGUAACUUUUCUAGUCAUAGAUCUAGUGUAGGUAGCUCCUCAGAUGGCUCCAUCUUUGCCAGCGGCAGCUUUGCACAAGCAUUGGUGGCAGCAGCAGAUAAAGCUGGUUUUAGGCUGGAUGGAACCAGUCUUACAAGAACAGGUUGGUAGACUCUGAGUCAACACUCUUUGCAUGAGAGAAUCCUGUCCUCCAGACACUGACCUUUUCUUCUGCUCUUCCUUCUCAGUGAAUCUAACUGCAGGCUUCUUAAAAUAUGCAUGAACACAGUUGGAUAGACGCUCUGUUACCAGGACAGCUCUUUGGAUGCUAAUAUUUUGGAGCCAAAAAUAGGCUCCUUCUCACUA
rnacentral:lncRNA from 1 species